UAUCUCAGUCGGUAAAGAAUCUGCCUGCAAUGCAGGAGACCCUGGUUAGAUUCCUGG
rnacentral:tRNA from 1 species